rnacentral:misc_RNA from 1 species
AUCAGAAACCUGUCAUUACAACGUUGACAAGACUUUUUAAUGAGACAUCAGAGGCUUUGGGAGGUUCACGUGCAAAUCCAGCCCGAAAACGCGAAAUAGAAGACAAUUCAAGGAAAAUUGGCGCCUUGUUUGCGAAGCUCAACAGCAGUGAUAUAUCAAAAAAUGCUUCUGACAAACUUAUUCAGCUCUGUCAGGCAUUAGAUAAGAAUGAUUUUAGCACAGCCCUGCAAAUCCAGGUACUUCUUACGACAAGCGAGUGGGAUGAGUGUAAUUUCUGGCUUGCAACGCUCAAAAGAAUGAUAAAGACAAGGCAGGGUGUGAGAUCAAGUUAAAAACACAAAAUCAUCAUUUCCAUUUCAUAGGUGUGGUAAUGCUUCUUGGGGGCUGGUUAUUUCUUUCUUCAGCGUACACAAGAACAAAUUUCUAGAUUGCAACUACAGGGUUUUGGAUCAUAGUCCUCCAUCUCGCCUGCAAAAAUUUCAGCAACAGGAAUGCACAUUCUGGAAGCAAUUAGUGAAGGAUAGUUUUCACGACAUUUACUGAACUAGUCGCCGAUGGUUCCUUUUUCACUUUGGCAUUUGUAGU